GACGAACGCUGGCGGCGUGCUUAACACAUGCAAGUCGAACGGAAAGGCCCUGCUUUUGUUGGGUUCUCGAGUGGCGAACGGGUGAGUAACACGUGUGUAACCUGCCCUUGACUUUGGGAUAACUUCAUGAAACUUGGGCUAAUACCUGAUAUGAGCUCCUGCUUCUUGUUGUGGGUUGGAAAGUUUCGGCGGUUGGGGAUGGACUCGCGGCUUAUCAGCUUGUUGGUGGGGUAGUGGCUUACCAAGGCUUUGACGGGUAGCCGGCAUGAGAGGGUGACCGGGCAAAAUGGGACUGAGAUAGGGCACAGACGAAAACGGGAGGCAGCAGGGGGGAAGAGUGCAAAAUGGGCGGAAGCAUGAGGAAGAAAAGCAGCGUGCGGGAUGAAGGGCGUCGGGUUGUAAAAAGAUUUAGCAUGUGACGAAGAGUGAGUGACGGUAAUGGGUAAAGAAGCACCGGCUAACUACGUG
rnacentral:rRNA from 1 species